GAGUGAGAAUACCUCAAAUACUUUAACUUACUACAAAGGAAGAAAAGAAAAAUUUCCCUUCCAUAGGAAAAUGCGAGUUUGGAGAAAAUCAGUAACUUGCCACCCAUAUUCACACACCAGGAGGUGGAAGAACUAAGAUUUGAAUCCAAAUUUCUCUGACUCCAGAAGCUAUGACCUCUUCUGCAACCACAUUUUCUUCCUUUCUUAAGUGAUUCUAUAUUCCUGGGUUUUUAAAGGUCAUUAAUAAAGCCUCUUCUUUUCA